UACGUAGGGGGCAAGCGUUGUCCGGAUUUACUGGGCGUAAAGAGCGUGUAGGCGGCCAAGCAGGUCCGUUGUGAAAACUGGAGGCUUAACCUCCAGACGUCGACGGAAACCGCGUGGCUAGAGUCCGGAAGAGGAGAGUGGAAUUCCUGGUGUAGAGGUGAAAUGCGCAGAUAUCAGGAAGAACACCAAUGGCGAAGGCAGCUCUCUGGGACGGUAAUGACGCUGAGACGCGAAAGCGUGGGGAGCGAACAGG
rnacentral:rRNA from 1 species